AGAGUUAAAUAGUACGUGAAAUUGUUGAAAGGGAAACGAUUGAAGUCAGUCAUGCUAGUGAAAAUUCAGUUUGGCGGGUUUUUAAGUUUAGGAGUAGGAGGCAAGCCUCUCUCUUGAACUUUUAAUCUGUCAGAUGCACUUUUUCUUUGGCAGGUCAGCGUCGAUUUCGGAGGUUGUAAAAUACUUGGGGGAAAGUAGCUCUGCUUCGGGAGAGUGUUAUAGACCCUGGGGGAUGCAGCCUGCGGGAUCGAGGAUUGCAGCAAAUGCUUUUUGGCUUGUCGCCUGAUCUCUGGACGUUACCUCGCUUGUGACAACAUUCUUGCCACCGGUGAGUACUAAUGGCUAUUAGGUUAGAGCGAUCAAAAAUAUUGCUAAGGAUGCUGACGUAAUGGCUUUAAACGACC
rnacentral:ncRNA from 2 species